AACGAACGCUGGCGGCAUGCCUAACACAUGCAAGUCGAACGAAGCCUUCGGGCUUAGUGGCGCACGGGUGCGUAACACGUGGGAAUCUGCCCUUUGGUUCGGAAUAACAGUUAGAAAUGACUGCUAAUACCGGAUAAUGACGUAAGUCCAAAGAUUUAUCGCCGAAGGAUGAGCCCGCGUAGGAUUAGGUAGUUGGUGGGGUAAUGGCCCACCAAGCCGACGAUCCUUAGCUGGUCUGAGGGGAUGAUCAGCCACACUGGGACUGAGACACGGCCCAGACUCCUACGGGAGGCAGCAGUGGGGAAUAUUGGACAAUGGGCGAAAGCCUGAUCCAGCAAUGCCGCGUGAGUGAUGAAGGCCUUAGGGUUGUAAAGCUCUUUUACCAGGGAUGAUAAUGACAGUACCUGGAGAAUAAGCUCCGGCUAACUCCGUGCCAGCAGCCGUCGGUAAU
rnacentral:rRNA from 1 species